rnacentral:snRNA from 1 species
GGAUGUGAGGGUGAUCUGGCAGCGACACCUGUCACCCCAAUGAUUGACAGGGUUGAUUUGGCUGAUCUGGCUGGCUAGGCGGGUGUUCUCCCUCACCGCUCUAUAGCCGUUCCUCCUGAAUCUGCAUGCUCAGUGGGAAAGGAUGAUGUCCCUAGUAUAGAAGGAUUGUACCAAGGUCUCCAGUCUUCAGUCUUGGGUAUACUAUAGCUGUGCUCCCUUGCUAGAACCUCCAAACAGUUCUAUCUAUAUUUGUAUGUGGUCCAUUUCCAGGAUGCUCUCACUUCCAGAGAUCACU